rnacentral:rRNA from 2 species
UCGACCUCAGAGCAGGUGAGACUACCCGCUGAAUUUAAGCAUAUCAAUAAGCGGAGGA